AAUCCUUUUCAGACCAUCACUUUCAACAAUUUCAACCAAAAAAAACAAAAAAAAAAUCCCCCAUAACUAUAAUCUCUUCAAACUCUUCUUCCUAGCAUCUAUUUUCUUUCUGUCAGCCUGGACUUUUGCCAGCCCAACUUCUUUCUUUUGUGUAGUGGCGGAAGCGGGUGUUGUAGCAGACCCGCCGAUUCCUCUCUCCACUGUUGGAACAGCAGCGGAUGGCUGAUCCUGAUUAUUUCCUCCUCUAGUGGCUGUUGCGGAAGGAGCUAGUGGUUGCGCCAAUGGCAAUGGUAUUGCACCACCAGAUGGUGUGUUGUUCUUCUGGUCCAUGUUGGUGAUAGUCUGGUCAACAUUCAGUGCCGUUGUUGAUUCAGAAAUAACUCCUGACUUGAAAUUUGGUUUUGGCUUUGCAUGAAUCCCAGUGCAAAUCCUGCAGAAAACUUACAAUCUUCAGUGAACCGCGUAAAACGAGACUUACUUGAGUGGGUUGAGACGCUUCUCGAAGACUUUCUUGGCUUCGUCGAUGUCUUUGGAAUCUUCCAAACAUCUGUUAUGACACUCAAGGAAGAGCAGUUUGCUGCCAAAGUUGCUAUAAGGAAAAAAGACGACGCAAAGAUAGCUUCGUAUUUGAAAUCAAGAAAAAGAUUGGCCAAAGAGAUGCUUAAGCUUGUCAGUGCAAUUCGGUGUAUCGGCCAAUACCAGGUACCGCCACCAAUGCUGGCGUCCGUUAUAGAUUCUGAGUUAGCCGGUGUCGUCACUGAUGCUGUUCGAGUGAAAUUUCUCCAUCAUCAUCUGAUUCUAGUACGCGAUCAAGUGGCAGUCUUUUCUUUCUCAACGCCAAAAGGUGAAAAAAAAAAUAUUACAACCCAUUACAGGCCAGCUAAGAUUUUCGCGCCAAGGAUCUUACUGUAACUAGGGAUAAUAUUGUCUUUUUAAAAUUAACUACCAGUCAAAAGAAAAUUUUACUAACGACAUAGGGUUAUUUAUAAAUAAAAUAAUUUUGACCAUCUACUUGCAACAACCUCAAACCUUAAGGGAGGUUUUUUAAAAUUACACUUUCUGUGAGUGAUGAGUUUAUGCCGUUUUUUUUCUUUUAUUAAAUACGGCGCCCACUGCAAAAUCUUUGAACACCCACACCCAGCUCCAUUUUGCAAAUAACGAUAUUUCUGGGGGUUAUUACAAUAAUAGCCAACCUUCUAGCUUAAGCUUAACGCAAAAGUUAUUUGCUGUACAAGUUUGUUGACCACCUAAUUUUGUUGAAAUAUUCUCGCACAGCGUCUACCACAAUCACUCGUCAAGGCAUUAGGCAAGACCUUCUAGUAUUAGUAUUAUUAACUUGAUGGCAACUCAAUUAUUUCUCCACUCAUAUGAUGUGAAUGAAGUUCCAAAUUGCAGAGUUCUUGUGCCAAGUGCUCUUUAAACUAGCAUCCGCCGGCAAUGGUGAAUAAUUGAAUAUGAUAACUAAUCAGAAGUAUAUAUAUUCUCAAACACCCGUAACAUAUAUAUGAAAUCCAAUUUUGGCCACAGAUCAUAAUAAUUUUAUAAUAGUUACUAAAUGGCAGUUAGAAUCUCAUGAUUUUCCCAACCGGGCUUAUUUGAAUUUCAUGGUCAAGUAUCGAUAGCAGAAAUGGAGAUGAUACAAGUUUGAUCAUGUCUCAGUUCUCAUGUUUUCUCUUGGGAUGAAACAGAGAAUUCUAACUAAUAAAUGGGUAACCAUUAGGGCCAUUUCUCUGUGUCCUAUUCUUCAAUGCUCAUCUUACAAAUGGUAUGAGCAAAUACUCUGCGUAAAAGAGCUGCAAGAAGAAAAAACAAGCCAUCUUAGAUUCAACUGUGCGCGUGUAUUCAACUUCAAAUGUGAGAGAGAUACAGACAAGGCUGUUGAGGGUUCAAAAUGAUAUUAAGAAAGCAAAGAAAAAUAAUAGUUUCUCCAGCACACUGACAUGCUAGAUUGACACUGUUGGCCAUUCCGAAGACCAAAAAUGUGUGGCUAAGAUAGAUGGUUACCUUCCAGAUGAACAUAUAACAGGAAGUUAUUGCCGUUUUACUCCCUAUAUCAACUGAUUUUGCGCGGUUCCAUAGUAUUAAGGCCAGAAUACUAUGACCCAAAACCUGAACAACAACACAGAGACAGCAAAUCAUGCCAUAGCGCUUGUGGACUACUUACAAAACAUGAUGGAGUGAGCGUUUUUUAGCCCCAUCAUAGGGGUCGUUGCAUUUACUUUUUUAAUAAUAACAUAGGAAUUUUAAAAGUCCUUAUCUUUCCUUAAAAACAGAAGUAACUAAAUAUCUAUCUAGCAAGUUAGUGUAUGCCAAAAUCUAAGGAGGAGCAAAACAUGUUGGCUAAGAUAACAUUGUGAGUGAAAAACCUCUGCUGCUUAUGGAUGAAAUGAUAUCAUAAUAUCAAACUAAGUGAGUGAAAUCUCACUGCCUAUGAGGUAACAACACAAAAUACACAGCGCGUAAAUUGUAUAGGCAAAAAAAGCUAUCAUUCAAUGGAAUAAAAUUUAAUGGACAGCAACUAAUAUGAUCCAGAGUAAAACUAAAAUAUACUGU
rnacentral:lncRNA from 1 species